UACAGAGGGGGCAAGCGUUAUUCGGAAUUAUUGGGCGUAAAGGGCGCGUAGGCGGCCUGACAAGUGGAAGGUGAAAUCCCUCGGCUUAACCGAGGAACUGCCUUCCAAACUGUUUGGCUUGAGUCCGGGAGAGGCGAGUGGAAUUCCCAGUGUAGCGGUGAAAUGCGUAGAUAUUGGGAGGAACACCGGUGGCGAAGGCGGCUCACUGGACCGGUACUGACGCUGAGACGCGAAAGCCAGGGGAGCAAACGGG
rnacentral:rRNA from 1 species